rnacentral:rRNA from 1 species
CCUACGGGAGGCAGCAGUGGGGAAUAUUGCACAAUGGGCGCAAGCCUGAUGCAGCCAUGCCGCGUGUGUGAAGAAGGCCUUCGGGUUGUAAAGCACUUUCAGCGGGGAGGAAGGCGUUAAGGUUAAUAACCUUGUCGAUUGACGUUACCCGCAGAAGAAGCACCGGCUAACUCCGUGCCAGCAGCCGCGGUAAUACGGAGGGUGCAAGCGUUAAUCGGAAUUACUGGGCGUAAAGCGCACGCAGGCGGUCUGUCAAGUCGGAUGUGAAAUCCCCGGGCUCAACCUGGGAACUGCAUUCGAAACUGGCAGGCUAGAGUCUUGUAGAGGGGGGUAGAAUCCCAGGUGUAGCGGUGAAAUGCGUAGAGAUCUGGAGGAAUACCGGUGGCGAAGGCGGCCCCCUGGACAAAGACUGACGCUCAGGUGCGAAAGCGUGGGGAGCAAACAGGAUUAGAUACCCCAGUAGUC